GAGCGGUAANCAGGUGUAGCAAUACAUGCUGACGAGCGGCGAACGGGUGAGUAAUGCUUCGGAAUCUGCCCAAUGGUGGGGAAUAACCAGCCGAAAGGUUGGCUAAUACCGCAUACGCCCUACGGGGGAAAGCAGGGGAUCGCAAGACCUUGCGCCGAUGGAUGAGCCGAAGCCGGAUUAGCUAGUUGGUAGGGUAACGGCCUACCAAGGCGACGAUCCGUAGCUGGUCUGAGAGGACGACCAGCCACACUGGGACUGAGACACGGCCCAGACUCCUACGGGAGGCAGCAGUGGGGAAUAUUGGACAAUGGGGGAAACCCUGAUCCAGCGACGCCGCGUGUGUGAAGAAGGCCUGCGGGUUGUAAAGCACUUUUAGUGGGGAUGAAAAGCUCAGGGCUAAUACCUCUGAGUCUUGACCUAACCCACAGAAAAAGCACCGGCUGACUCUGUG
rnacentral:rRNA from 1 species